rnacentral:rRNA from 2 species
UCACAUGACUCUCGGCAACGGAUAUCUUGGCUCUCGCAUCGAUGAAGAACGUAGCAAAAUGCGAUACCUGGUGUGAAUUGCAGAAUCCCGUGAACCAUCGAGUUUUUGAACGCAAGUUGCGCCCGAGGCCUUUUGGUCGAGGGCACGUCUGCCUGGGCGUCACGU